ensembl:lncRNA
AAUGGCAUCAAAUUUACAUCCUGCUUUAUUGUGGAGCUUCUUGUGAUAAUGAAUUCAACCAAAUAGCAAGUACCUGUGCUCCAGAAAUGCACUUCUCUUCAUUGUAUCAAAGGUUCACUGUUCUCCAUGGGAGUCAAGGCUGGAAUGAAUCUCUUAAGUUUCAGGUGGAAUGGAAUAACUCCAACUCCUGCAACAGGACAACUCCAACUCCUACAGUUUCUCCAACAUCUGAGAUGGGUCUUGCAGUUGCUCCGACCUUUUUGACAGACUCUGUGGUUACUUUAACUUCUAACAAGACCUGCAGGUGCCACAAGCCUCACAACCAGCCCUGUGUUCACUCCAACCCCUGUGACAAGCCCUGUAUUGGGAACCAAAAUGACUGUUGUAGUUUAACAUGGCAGGUGGCUGAGCACCAUGCAGUUGUUUGCUCACUUCCCUCAUUCCCAAUGGGAUGGGGGAAAGAAUCGAGAAAACACUUGUGAGUUGACGUAAAACUAUUUACUAAGAUAGAGAAAAGGGAAAGGAUAAUAAUUAUGACAGAUAUACAUAUCUAUAUAUGUGUAAAUAUAUAGAAAAAUGAUGCACAAGCAAUUGCUCACCACCCUCUCUUCAAAAAUCCUUCCGCUUGAUGUCAUAUGGUAUGAAACAUAUCUUUGGGCAGUUUUAGAUGGCUGUGCUCAUUCUGUUCCCUUACAGCUUCUCAGGCCCUUCACUGCAAAUGGCCUUGGCUUUGUACAACACUGCUUAGCAGUAACUAUGAUCAUCUGUAUAAUAUCAACAUUGUUUUUUUCCAAGUAUCAAAAUAUAGCAUCAUACCAGACACUCAAACAAUUCCAUCCCAGCUGCAAGUGGGAACUGAAAGUCACUCAUGUGCACUAGUCCCACUUUGCUUGAGCCUACCUUACAUCAUGGGUUCUCAAUAGAAGGUUCCUACAGUUUAGAUGUGGGAGCCACAGUUAGUGAAGUCACAUACAAUCCAUAUAUGGAGUUUACACAAAAAAACACAUACAUUUCUUAGUCUAAGGGCAUCUACUCAUCUACAAAAAGUCUCAGUGAGAGAUCAUUACUGACAGGAAUUUAUUUGACGAAUUAAGGGCGUUCUUAUAUACAUUUCCCCUCCCAAAUAAUUACCAAUCAGAUGUUUUAUCUCAGAAACAAGGUACAAAACUGAAUAGUAGUUCAAAACAUUGAUACAGCAUCCACCAGAUGGUCACUAACAUAUGAAGUUUCUUUCUUGAUCCUGUGUAGCUUGCUUUUCCUGUCCAAGUGUACAUCAUUUGCCUCAGUCACUACACACAGUAUCAAGUUAUAAUUAUGCAGUUUUCUUUAGAACAUGAAUAAAAUAAGUUUCAUC